rnacentral:tRNA from 1 species
GUUGUGGCUCAGCGGUAGAGCACUCACCUAGCACUGCAAGGCACUGGGUUCGAUUCUCAGCACCACA